rnacentral:tRNA from 1 species
ACCUAGCUGGCUCAGUUGGUGGAAUGUGUGACUUUUGAUCUCCAGGUCAUAGGUUCAAGCCCCAUGUUGGGCA